ACCAAUCAGAACAUUUUAUUUUUGGGUUUGGGCUUAAAGUUUUGUUUAGGUAUGGGCUUAAAGUUCAGUUACUCCAAAAGUCGAAACCCUAAAUCAGAUUAAUCAAAAAAAUGGAAGUCGUCUCUCCUAUUCCUUCAUCGGAGUCAGCGACGCCUGAGGUCCAUAAGUCGUAUUUUCAAGCACUAGCCAUUACUGGAGUCGGUUUAGAUAUCUCUCCACCGCCGCCAGGGCAUUGAUUCUUCCUUCUACUUCAGCCCUCUUGAAGCGAUCAGUUUGAUUCUGUGAUUGUUGAUGAGCAGAAGUAAGGCGGAAGUGAGACUACUAUUACAAGAUUGGUACCUUCUAACUCCAUCUCUAAUCUGGAAAGCGUUAAAACCGAGCCUGGUGAGACAGAUUCAUCUCAGCGUAGUUUCGUUUCCUCCAUGACUUCUAAGCAAGCCUACAAGAAAGAUAUCCUUAUUUCCUCUCAGAAAGUUUCUUCAUUUCCAAGUUUUCUCAGAAUUCUAUUUUUCCUGUCUUUGCUCAUGGAUUACUACACAAUUGUUGUGCUGGAUCUGCUGCUUCUAUUAUUAGGAAGAUCUGUUUUUUUCUUUUGUUUUUUUCUUACCAGUGGACUAAUUUAAGACCUCUGGAGACCUGUGUUUGUAUGAAUUUAGGACUUAUCAGUCAAACUGAGUUUUGACUAGCAUCUCCUCAUCUAAUUGCAUUUGCUUAGCCUUGGCUUUGACUUUGUGAGUGAUACGAAGAGGAGUUUGUGGCACAUUCUGCUGCUGUCAACUGUCUAAAGAUCGGAAGGAAAUCAUCCAGGGUUCUGGUCACUGGUGGGGAAGAUCACAAGGUCAAUCUCUGGGCUAUUUGUAAGCCCAACGCCAUCCUGAGAUUCAGUUACCUUUGAUGCUUCCGAGGUCUUAGUUGCAGCAGGAGCUGCUAGCCAGAACAAUCAGUCUCGCAAGAGAAAAGAACUUGACAAGAAGAUAAAAGGAUGUGGAGGGAUGGCACGAAAGAUAUGUUUCUUAAGACUAAAUGUUAAAGGUUGGAGUUCUUUCAAAGAGUUCAUAGACAAAGAAGGUAAGAAGGAUUUGGCUGAUGUUGAGGUCACGCUUGGCGAGCUAGAAGCUGAACUUUCCGAAACCAAUGUUGUAGGAUGACAAGCUGCAGCGCUCUUACAAUGAACUUGUGGAGUACAAGCUCCUUCUUGACAAGGCUGGUGAUCUUCUUGCUUUAGCCCAUAGACAUCCUUGAGGCUCCGUUUCUGCAGGAAGUACAAGAUAUGCAACUGUUUUACUUUUCCAAGUUGUGUGUUUCUGCAAAUAGACUUAUAAGCUGUCCUUUUCAACAUGAGUAGCCUAUUGAUCCAACAAAGCAAGUAAAGCUUGGAUUCCUCAAUGGGCUGGUGCCACGCGAUAAGUCUAUGGUGUUCGGGAGGAUCCUAUUUCGAGCACCUAAGAUUUACAUGGAUUCCCAAAUAAAGAAGUGCAAAAAUUCAAUACAAGAUACCAUGAUAUAGCUUUUAGUGAAGAUCUUGGCAGACAAGCUCAAAUGAUGAUUGAAGUAUGUAUUAUCUCUUGAUAUAUGAUUGAUUCUGGUGUUUUUCCUUCUGACUCAUCAUCAUGAAUUCUAAGUAUUCUUUUAGAUGUACAACUAUUAAUUUAAUUUCUGGGCACGAGUGACAAGUGAUAACUACGAAGAUGUAGUCAGAUUUUUGUAUAAUAGCCAACAAUAUACGUUUAUUUAUGAAUAUUCUAUCUCAACUAAA